GUCAGAGUGGCGGAGUGGUUAACGCGUUUGACUUGAACUUUCUCUAUGUUUGAGACAUCAAAUACCUUAGGGUGCGCAGGUUCGAAUCCUGUCUCUGACG
rnacentral:tRNA from 1 species